rnacentral:lncRNA from 1 species
CAUCACUAUCGAAGACUACAUUUUUGGCAUAUCAUCCACACCUCAUAUGAUAAGUUACUGCAAUCCCUUAAAAAAACUUGGUCCCAAAUGUAAAGCCAAUACUGUGGAAUUGUCACAUUGCACGGUUGACAUGUAUUCCCUCUAAACAAAUCAAAAUAGAAAAUCUGUAUUCAUGAUAAAAGGAAACAACCAAUAUCACCAACACAAGUAGUAAGUAGAAAACUCGCGAAAGCACAGAAGUUAGGACUUUAACAUUGCUGGACUCCUAACAAUCCAAGCAAAUGCAUUCCACAAAUUUCUCAAACUGCUAAUAAUCAACCCAAAAUGUAUUCCAACUUCCUAACAAAAUGAUUGUAAAUAGAGCAAAAACCCACCACUGACUUAGCAAAUCCAAAUACUGAACUUAGUAAGUCCCUUUGCAAACCAGCCCUCAGCUUGUUGGUUAGACCUAUUAAGUUCAAUCUUUCUACAUGGGACUAACUGACAGAUGCAUCACAACUUACAUGGAAUCCUCAUUAGUCUAUCACAUUACUUAUUGUUACCCUACAAUCACAUUUUAAGUCUAAAAUAAGCCAAACAAAAUAGGGACUUGCUAGGGAAAUAAGACACAAAGGAACAUGAACUCGACUGGCAAAAAUACAAACUGAUUUCAAACAAAACAAAGCCAUACUACUACACAAUUUUCAUGUUGAAUCAUGUUCAAGAGGUUCACUGAUAGAAUUGGCAUGCUGGGAAAACAUGAACACUCCCUGAUCCUCUCAACCAUGGUAAGCCAGAAAGAAAAAAUGUUGUCAAGAAUAACUUCAACAACUUCAAACCAGCAGAACAUGCAAAAAUGGUCAUGAAAUCAGGGAAAAAGGAAACUAUUCAGUUAUUCAUGUCGAACAUGUCGAGACCAAAUAGUAGGUACGAGCAAAUUAUCCUGAAUACCGAAACAUAUCAUAUACAGCAGAAGAAACAUAGGUGGUUCUAGUAAAAAAAUUCUAAUAGAUGAGGAAGAUUUCACAAGAACAAGUCAUUUAAAGUCUAGAAAACAAACAUUAUGAGAAUAAACGUCAUAGUUUCAUGCUCGCUUCACAAUCACAAAAGUUGAACACAUCGUUCAUUUGAAAGCAACGAAAUCUUGACCCAAAAUGUACUUCGACCCCAUAAUAAUAGUUAAAGCGUACAGAGGAUAGAAAACAAUCACUCGAUUCAGCUCUUAUUGACUGACCAUACUCAGCAUAUCGAAACAGUGAGAAAGGACUUAUCAGCAAGAUAACAUAUUAAAUAUCAUUCUUGAAUAUGAAUCAAGACUAAAUGAUAAACCCAUGCUCGACUUCUUCAUGAAAUUUGAUCAAGGAAGAGAAAACACCAUUCUGGAAAACAAAUUCCCAUAGCUUAAGAACACCUUAAAAUAGAGGUACAUAGGAGAAGAAAUCAAACUUGAAAUUGCAAACUUCCUUUAUAAUAAUUACAGAAUCUGCAAAUACACCUUUGAUUCCAAAAUCAUAGCGAGGUUUAGCAGCAAAUCAGUAGGCCUCAGUAGUAGAAACGAAAUCGACGAACUUGAACCUCACGAAUAUUCAAUAGACCUUAGUUGAUUUCCAUGUUUUUGAACCCAAAUUCAGGUUGAACACUCUAAAUAUUUAUGUAUUUUUUUGAAUAUUAAAAGAAGCUUUCAGAGAAGAAAAAUGAUAAGCCAAAGAAAAAUCCUUCAAACUUUCCUCUCCGAUUUUUUACCCCAAAAUUCUCUGUCAUUUACCAAAUCGGAUCAGGUCUUUUUGAAAAUGAAACCUGAUGAAUGUGAGGCUUGGAUUGACUGAAAUUGAUCCAACGCCUCUCACUCAUCCAACGCACGUCCUCCAGAACCUUCCAUCGCGUGAUAUAGCUCGAAAUCGGGUGAAUGAGGGGGGAGGGAAUCUUUUGGUGUCAGAAACCGUUACAAUAUGGCUGGAGGAGAGAAGGGGGAGACGCUUGGUGUGAGUUUGGUUUCACUCUCCAUGAAUUUUGGCGAGUUUGGAAAUGAAUUUCGACGAAGAUGAUGGUGAAUAGUGUAUAGCGCCAUUUGGGUUCUUGGGUAUUUAGGGUUCUUGUAUUGUCUAUAUAUAUUUGGGUGAGUGGGUCAGCUCAAGGGAAUGGGUCGUGGGUUAGGGUCAUAGGUCUUGGGCUGGGUGGUUUAAUGGCCGUUUGAUAAGAGAAAAUGAAAGGCCAAGAUUGGUUUCAGCUAUUUGAACUCAAAAUGACGUAGUAUUUCCCCAUACUACGUCGUUUUCAGGGGUCUCACAGACUGAAGGUUUGGACCGGGCAUGAGGGUGGACUGGACGAGAAUUUUGGGCUAAUUCUAAACUUAGCCCAACUCCAAAACAAAAUUAAACCUUUUCCAAUUAUUUUCUUUGUUUUCUUUUCCUUCUUUUUAAUUAAUUGAAUUCCUAAAUUAAAUCUUAAAUUAAUCUAGUUUGCAAAAUUAAGCUAAUUAUCUAUUUACAACAAAUAUAAAAAUCAUUUAAACCUAAAUAAAAAGAGAAAAACUACUAUUCUAAAAUUAAAAGCCAAAAAUGCAACAAUUGGGCCAUUUUGUGAUUUUCCGUUUUAAUAAAACAAAUAAUUAACUAAUUAACCUUAAAAAUGUAAACAACAAAAUCUAAAUACAAUGCAUGGUAUUUUUGGAAUUUUUCAUGACUUUAAUGAAGUUAAAACAUGCACAGAAUGCAAACAAUUAAAAAUUCUAUGAAAAAUCUAUAAAAUUGCAAAUAACGGAAAAAUUUUAUUUUCUUGAAUUUUACAGGAGCAAUUCAUAUAGGGCAAAAAUCACGUGCUCACAGCUAUCCCUCUUUGCUCGGAAUCACAGAAAGUUUUCGCACAAAGAUAAAGUGAGCGGAUAUGAGUGAUUUUUUCCCGUUUGAAUACUCCGUAGGAAGCAUUUUUGAAAGAUUUGACCGUACCUUGCUUCCAUAUCCUUGGCUAUAAAGGAAUCAGGCCAGUGUAGUUCGGGAAGUUUUUGUAGCUGGAACUACUAGGAAGUUGUGAUUUCAACGUUGUUGUUGCUGCUACUACUUGCUGAACUCCUUAUUACACCAAGACAAAAUAAAAGAAGCCAGACUAAACUAUGAUCUAUGAAUUACAAAAAUCCUAUCUAUAUCUUCAAACUUGAUCUCGCAGUUUCUACCGCUCUGCUGACUUGUGCUCUCCAGAUGAACUUCCAUUGUUGCUGACUUGAAGUGCAUUCUGAAGUGAAUUCACUUAUUCUCCAGGUGGCGCCUGAUUGACAACAUUUGAACUGCAUUCCCUUGUUCUCCAGGCGGGCGUCUGAUUACCAAAACUUGCAUUGUAUUCCCUUUGUUACCUUAAACUGUUUUCCCUUGAAACUUGUGAUGUCUUCCUUUGAAACUUGAACUGCUUUCCUUAUUCUCCAGGUGGGCACCUGAUUGCCAAACUUUAACUGUAUUCCGUUGCUCUCCAGGUGGGCGCCUGAUUGCCAAAACUUGAAUUGUAUUCCCAUGCUCUCCAGGUGGGCGCCUGAUUUCAGAAACUCUAACCAUCUUCUCUUGCUAUUGAAACUGUUUUCCUUUGAAACUUGAGUCGUUCUCUCUUGUUCUCCAAUUGGGUGCCUGAUUUCCGAGCUUGACCCGCUUUCCUUUGAACUUGUGUCAUCUUCCCUUGUUCUCCAGGUGGUCUCCUGAUUGUUUGACCCUGAAAUGUUUUCUCUUGAGACUGCUUUUCCUUUGAACUGUCUUCCCUUGUUCUCCAGGUGGGUGCCUGAACGUUGAACCUGACUUGUCCUCUUCUUGAAACUGCUUCUCUUUUGAACUGUCUUCCCUUGUUUCUCCAAGUGGGUGCCUGAUUGCUUGAGCCUAAACUGCUUUUUAUUCUUGAAAGUUGUGUUAUCCUCCCUUGUUCUCCAGGUGGGUUCCUGAUUUUGACAAAACAAAAGAAAUUUUUCUACCCCAGUUUGAUAUUGGGAACAUUUGUGAGUGUUAACCGAUUCUUGUUAUAAAUUCUCAACUAAAUUCCUUUAUCCUAAAAAUUUCAAACCAAGCCUCAUCUCAAAAGUGAAAACUUAAAUGCCAAAUUAUACUUCCCAAAAGUAGACCUCUCGUCAGACCUUAUCAUUCGCGAGGGUCUCAAAACUUUACUAAAUCCUGUUAUCCAAUAGGGUACCAGAACUUACUGCCAAGCCUGUCUGGCACUUGCUUUCCUCACGGAGGGUUUCUCCAAAACAAACAAAAUUUUAUGCCCCUAUUUCAAUCAAAGAAAAAUCUUGUCAGUUUGAAAAUGUGGUAAGUUAGUUUGCAGCAUUCUUGCUGAGGGUGGCCCUUUUGCUGCCAUGCUUUCCUUUGACCAGCCGCUCUGAACUGGCCAAGAGUUGUUUGCCUUUCUGACUGAAUUUCAACCACAGGACCCUGAAUGACCCGACUGCUCUAUAGUCAACCUGCUAUUUUAACAUAUCUAUUUUUCCCAUCUGAACCUCUGUAUUUCUCCCCACAAUUCACGAAACCACUUGAUCACUUAAACCUCGGCUAACACCUUAUUUUGCAUUUUGCAUCAUGCUAUUGCUGGCAUGCCGGCCGCACUUUGCUUUUGUGCAAUUUGGAAGUUGGUAAUGAGCUUUGCGAUCCUUUCUUUUGCUUUGCAAGGCUAACAUUGAAAAAUCCUUAGAGGAGUAGACCCAAAGGAAAGGAAAUGCAAUGACUUCGACAGUUAUGAAUAGAGAAGAAAAAUCGAAACAAAAGGACUAUUUGAGGAAGAAAAGGAAAAGGGACUUAUCUGAGUGAGGCUGAUGGCAUCAAUGAUCAUGACAUGCAUUUUGGAUUAAUCAGCCUAGUCCAUUCAGUCAAUCCUCUUUCAGUCUUCAUGCUUUAUGCUUGGGGUUCCCAUAAUCCUGAUUCCUUUGCAAAGUCAACAACCUUAUUCGGCUUGCAGUGCCCUAAAGAGUUUUCACCAACAAACCUCUCUCAUUUAUUCAUCUCUCAACUCAUCGUCGCCUUACGGUGCCCGUGAGGGUUUUCACCAAUAAAACUCUCUCAUUUUUAAUUUCUCUUAGCUUUCCAUCGCCUUACGGUGCCCGUGAGGGUAUAAGACUCUCAAUUUUCAUUUCUCUCAGCUUUCCAUCGCCUUACGGUGCUCGUGAGGGUUUUUACCAAUAAGACUCUCAUUUUUUCAUUUUUCCUGCUUAGACCGGAGUGUUGCCCCUGAUAUGAAUCAUACCUCUACUUGCUCGACUUGGCAUCUCUCGAAAACUGAUUGGAAGGUCUUUCUUUGGACCGUAACGUGGGCUUUUAGAUAGGGUUAGAAAGAAAGGAUAUCACAAAGGCUCAAAAAUAACUUGAAUGGGUUCAAAAUUACAACUUUUGGAAUCAGAUCUCUUACAACCACAACUUUCUGCCCCAGUUUCUUUGCUUGGGGACUUUUGAAUUUUAUUUUGAUGGGACUGAACCAUGAGGCUGCCUACGUAUCCUUAAAAGGAAUCAGGUCGAACGUAGUUUAUGACUUAGGAAUUGCUUUGUUUUUGUAAUUUUCUCUUUCUUUUUCUUUCUCUCUUUUCCUUUUCUUUUCUCUUUUUUUUUCUUUUCUCUUUUUUCCUCUUUUCCUUCUUUUUUUAUUUUCUCUCUUUUUAUCACACUUUUCCAUUCUUUACUUUCUCUUUUCUCUUUUCUUUUUCUCUUAUUCUUAUUUACUUACCCUUUGCAUUCGUGUUUCUUAAUCUGCUACUGAUUCCAAAAGAGGGGUAUGAAAGGAUAUACAUAAGGUUCAAAGGGGUAACAAAGGAUAAAUUGUUUAGAUAACAGAAUAAAAUUCCUUCGUCAUUCCAAUCUUCAAAAUACGCCAAGUACAAGCAAUAAUUUAGACAAACCAAAUAAAUCAUACAUAAUAUCUUUUGACUGUAUCAGAAUUGAUAGCCAUAUCUACACAUUUGCCUUCUAUAUCUGUUAAAUAUAAAGCACCAUGGGACAACACUCUUGUUACAAUGAAUGGCCCUUGCCAAUUUGGGGCAAACUUGCCUUUCGCUUCAGCCUGAUGUGGAAGGAUGCGUUUCAAUACUUGCUGACCCACUUGAAAUUUCCGCGGACGCACCUUCUUGUUGUAUGCUCUUGCCAUUCUCUUUUGAUACAACUGUCCAUGACACACUGCUGCCAAUCUUUUCUCAUCAGUCAAACUCAAUUGCUCCAGAUGGGUUUUGACCCACUCAUCAUCAUCAAUUUCAGCUUCAACAACGAUAUGAAGGGAUGAAAUUUCAACUUCCGCGGGUAUCACCGCUUCGGUGCCAUAUACCAGCAAAUAAGGAGUUGCAUCUACUGAAGUGCGAACAGUAGUGCGAUAGCCCAUCAAAGCAAAAGGCAACUUCUUAUGCCAUUGCCUAGAACUUUGCACUAUUUUUCGAAGUAUCUUCUUUAUGUUUUUUUGGCUGCCUCGACUGCUCCAUUCGCCUUGGGGCGGUACAGGGUGGAAUUUUAAUGUGUAAUCUUAAAUUGUUGACACACUUCCUUCAUCAGAUGAUAGUUAAGAUUAGCACCAUUAUCUGUGAUGAUCCCUUUUGGGAUUCCAAACCGCCAAAUGAUAUUUGAGUGAACAAAAUCGACCACUUCCUUCUUGGUCACAAAUUUGAAAGUUUUAGCUUCAACCGACUUAGUGAAGUAGUCAAUGGCCACCAGAAUGAACUUGUUCCCAUUGGAUGCUGCUGACUAAAUUUGUCCAAUGACAUCCAGACCCCAAGCAACAAAAGGCCAUGGUGCGGACAUUGUGUGCAACUUCGAUGGCGAAGAAUGAAUCAAAUCUCCGUGUACUUGGCAUUGAUGACACUUGCGUACAAAACUGAUACAAUCUCACUCUAUGGUGAGCCAAUAAUAACGUGCUCGAAGAAUUUUCUUCAGUAGAACAUACCCAUAUGCGGACCGCAGACUCUGGAUUGCACUCCGGUCAUGAUAACUGUGGCUUGUCUAGCAUCUAUGCAUCUUAACAAUCCAAGAUCUAGAGUUCUUUUGUACAAAACUCCUCCACUGAAGAAAAAUCUACUUGCCGAACGUCGAAUUGUUCUAUUUUGAUCCCUUGUGGCUUGUACCGGGUACACCCCUGACUUGAUGUACUCCCUAAUAUCAUGGAACCAAGGUUCACCGUCAAGUUCCUCUUCCACCAUGUUAUAGUAAGCAUGUUGAUCGUGGACCUGAAUAUGCAAAGGGUCAAUAUAAGCAUUAUUUGGAUGGUGUAACAUCGAUGCCAGAGUGGCCAAGGUGUCGGCAACCUCAUUGUGGAUCCUAGGGAUAUGCCUGAACUCCACUGAUCUAAACCUCUCACAAAUAUCCUGCAGACAUUGUCGGUAUGGUAUGAGCUUCAAAUCUUGAGUCUCCCAUUCUCCCUGAUUCUGGUGCACUAACAGAUCCGAAUCUCCCAAAACCAAUACUUCCUGGAAUCCCAUGUCCACUCCCAACCUUAAACCCAAAAUGCAUGCUUCGUACUUAGCCAUGUUGUUGGUACAAUAGAAACGGAGUUGAGCUGUGACAGGGUAGUAGUGCCCUGUUUCAAAAAUGAGUACGGAUCCUAUUCCAACGCAUUUCAUGUUAGCAGCCCCAUCAAAGAAAAGUUUCCAACCGGGCUUUUCAUCCUUCUCGACCUCAUCAAUAUGCAUUACCUCUUCAUUAGGAAAAUAAGUCUUCAAAGGUUCAUAUUCUUUGUCCAUCGGGUUUUCGUCCAAGUGAUCGGCUAAAGCUUGGGCUUUCUUCACCGUCUGAGUCACAUAUAUGAUGUCAAACUUUAUGAGCAAAAUCUGCCAAUGGGCGAGCCUUCUUGUGGGCAGGGGCUUCUGGAAGAUGUAAUUUAACGGAUCCAGGCGAGAAAUAAGGUAAGUAGUGUAGGACGACAAAUAAUGCUUCAACUUUUGUGCUACCCAAGUCAGGGCGCAAUAUGUCCUCUCAAGGGGAGUAUACUUAACCUCGUAAGAUGUGAACUUCUUGCUGAGAUAAUAGAUCGCUUGCUCUUUCCUGCUAGUGAUGUCAUGCUAACCCAACACACAACCAAAUGAAUUAUCCAGGACUGUCAAAUAAAGAAUCAAAGGUCUCCCGGGUUCCGGCGGGACCAACACAGGUGGGUUCGGCAAAUACUCUUUGAUCUUAUCAAAUGCUUCCUGGCACUCAUCAGUCUUAUAAGAUGGGCUCACAAGUUGUCGUGAGCUGAGCAAUAAACUUGCUGAUGUAGUUCGGCAUCCCUAGCAAACUCAUCACCUCGGUCUUGUUCUUUAGCGGUGGCAAUUCCUGGAUAGCUUUGAUCUUUGACGGAUCCAACUCAAUGGCCCACUGACUGACUAUAAACCCCAACAGUUUCCCAGAUGGAACACCAAAUGCACACUUUGCAGGGUUGAGCUUAAGAUUGUACCUACGGAGCCUUUGAAAAAACUUUCUCAAAUCUCUGACGUGGUCAGACUGCUUCCUAGACUUUAUGANNNNNNNNNNNNNNNNNNNNNNNNNNNNNNNNNNNNNNNNNNNNNNNNNNNNNNNNNNNNNNNNNNNNNNNNNNNNNNNNNNNNNNNNNNNNNNNNNNNNNNNNNNNNNNNNNNNNNNNNNNNNNNNNNNNNNNNNNNNNNNNNNNNNNNNNNNNNNNNNNNNNNNNNNNNNNNNNNNNNNNNNNNNNNNNNNNNNNNNNNNNNNNNNNNNNNNNNNNNNNNNNNNNNNNNNNNNNNNNNNNNNNNNNNNNNNNNNNNNNNNNNNNNNNNNNNNNNNNNNNNNNNNNNNNNNNNNNNNNNNNNNNNNNNNNNNNNNNNNNNNNNNNNNNNNNNNNNNNNNNNNNNNNNNNNNNNNNNNNNNNNNNNNNNNNNNNNNNNNNNNNNNNNNNNNNNNNNNNNNNNNNNNNNNNNNNNNNNNNNNNACUAAUCUCUUCAAAGGACCCAUCCUCAUCAUAUUCUGAUUUAUCAUCACACUCUAUUUCUUGAAUUAUUAUUUCAGAAUUAGAUUGACUUUUAAGGCUUGGCUGAAGAUUCCUCAUGCAUGUCAUGUCAUUGAAAUCAGCAUAAAAAGAACUGUACAGAGAAGAAAGAAAACAAAAAUAGAACUAUCAGGAAUGAUGGAAAAGGAAAAUUGUAUUUCACUGAAAAUAAAGGAUAACAGGGUUUGUACAUCAAUAAGCAAAAACAAUAUCUGGGUCAUAACCCUGGAAUGACCCAGAUAGAAAGGAAAACAAAACAAACUACCAAGACUCCUUCCGAGUAGGGAGAGGAGUAGCCUUCCAAUUGUUAAGCUUUACAUUCGGCCUGACAAACUAAACGUCUGCUUUGCUAGAACCUUCUCCAAAUUCUACCAUGUUCACAUCAUCAAACAAUCCUUGGAACCUUUCAAUUAACUCUUUAUCAAUGUCAACCACAGAACUUGGAACUGUUGUCAUGGGGCGCUUCCUGGCACCGGGCUUGACAAAAGAUCUGGAAAGACGGGGGAUAGGCUUCAGAAGUGCCCACACCUUCUAUUUCAACUUUCUAGCCCUUUUCACAUCUGCCGCUGUGGUUUUGAAUCCAAGACCAAACGUACCCAAAUUUUCAGGGAGGGACACUAGCUGUAUGAUACCCUAUAGGGAUGCACCCAGACCUUUAUCUGGCACAAAGCCAUUUUUUUAGCAUUUCAAAGGUCACCAUGACGGAUGCGGAGGCUAUCUUUGGAGUUGGAAUACAUUUCCCUUCUGGAACCUUCUCGACCGGCACUAUUCAAAAACUUAAUAGACCCAAGGCCCUUUAUCAUCUUCAGCCUCAAUAACGGAAUGGAGGUAUCACUGUGAGCACACAAAUUCUCCUCACCAGGCACAACAAUCUCCUAUCUAUCCCACUCAAACUUGACCAUUUGGUGCAAAAUGGACGGGACUGAUUUGGCAGCGUGAGUCCACGGUCGCCCUAACAGAAAAUUGUAAGAGACGGAUACGUCCAGUACUUGGAACUCCAUGGUGAAUUCCACUGGUCCUAUUAUUAAUUCAAGUACUAUAUCACCAACCGAGUCUUUUCCUCUGCCGUCAAAACCUUGGACGCAUAUGUUGUUCUUGUGAAUCCUCUCAUAAUCAACUUUCAACUUGUUCAGAGUAGAGAGAGGGCAAAUGUUUGCACUGGAACCAUUUUCAACUAACACCCCAGUGACCACAGAAUCUUCACAUUUUAUCGUAAGAUAGAGAGCUUUGUUGUGUUCAGUACUUUCCACAGGUAACUCGUCAUCAGAGAAAGUGACCAUGUUCACCUCAAAUAUUUUAUUGGCGAUCUUUUCCAGAUGGUUCACUAAAAUUUUGUCGGGGGACAUGAGCCUCGUUAAGAAUUUUCAUCAAGGCUUGACGAUGCUUAUCUGAAUGGAUUAACAAUGACAACAAGGAAAUCUGAGCGGGCGUCUUUCUCAACUGCUCCACGAUGGAAUAAUCUUGUACCCUCAUUUUUUUCAAAAACUCCUCUGCCUCUUCUUCAGUGACUGUUUUCUUUACUAGAACUUGAUUAUCUUUGGAUGUUUUAGCUUUCCUUAACUCUUCCGGGGAAAAGCAUCUCCCCAAACGAGUUAAUCAAUGGGCCUCACUGACUUCUUCUUUCACUUUCUUUUCCUUAUAAGUCACUAUUACCCGUUCAUAGUUCCAUGGGAUAGCCUUGCUAUUGAUUACCGGCAACUAGGUUACAGGCUUGAUGAUGACACGAUCCGUACGGGCACCUUCUACAAUUAUGAUAGGCUUAUUUGACAACCCUGGCACGACCUAUCCUACUUUACUACAGCAUCAUUUGGGAAUCUUUUCUCAACUACCACAGAUGGCUUACCGUUUGUCAUGCUCAACUUGUUCACUGAUCCUUCAAUUGUUGGUUUUUGAUUGGCUUGACCUCGCUAGACCGAAUCAUCAUAAUGGAUUGUGAGGGCUUCUUGGGUUCCCCCUCCCCUUAUGUACUAUCUCGAUCAUGUUUGUUUCCUCAUGGGUUGGCAAUAGGUUCUGAUUGAUGUUGGGUGCCUCUGGAGUCUGGACUUCAAUCCAGUUUAUGUCAAUGAGCUCCUGGAUGACAUUUUUCAAGUGCCAACACUUCUUCGUAUCAUGCCCUGGAGUACCAGAACAAUACUCAUAGCUCAAGGAGUAAUAAAGAUUCUUUGGAGGAGGGUUUGGCAAUUUCGACUCAAUUGGCCUCAGCAUAUCCAACUGCCUCAAUCUAUGGAAUAAACUGGUAUAAGACUCUCCCAACGGGGUGAAAGUUUUCUUCCAUUGUAACCUCUCGUUUUUGAAUGCUAGAUUAGGUUGGAAACCUGGUCUGGCAGGGUUUUGGUAGGCUCGUGGGGGUAGGUAAGCAUUCUGUGGAGUUGGGUAGGUGUUUUGCGGGCUGGGGCAUGCCAUUGUGAGUAGGAAGGAGGUUGAGUAUAUGACUGGGCGUGAUGGACAGAAAUCUGAGGGUCUGGUAAUGGGAAGUAAUGCUGGGGUAGAUUAUAUGGGGUUUGGGUGUAGGUUCGGUGAUGCGGUCGAGGCUGGGUAUAAUGGUAUGAUGGGCCCCUGGGUCCAGACCAUGAUCCUGAAUCAACUGCUACCACAUCUUCUUUCUUCUUCUUGCCGAUCACUCCUCUAGUACCAUUCUGAAUGGCUUGAGUAGUUGCCUUGAUGGCCGAGUAGCUCAUGAUUUUGCUUGAUUUAAUCCUUUCUUCCACCAUGCCACUCAUCUUCACCACCUCGUUGAAAUACUUGCCUAUGGCCGAUAUCAGAUGGGCAAAAUAAGUAGGCUUUAGAGCAUGCAGAAAGUACUCCACCAUUUCGCUCUCCUCCAUCGGGGGGUUAACUCUUGCCACUUAUUCUUUUUAGCAAAAACCGUAUUCCCUGAAACUUUCACUAGGUUUUUUCUCAAUCUUAGUCAGAGACAAACGAUCUGGAACAAUCUUGAUGUUGUAUUGGAAAUGAUGAGCGAAUGCUUGGGCCAAAUCAUCCCAUGUAUACCAUCUGCUGUGAUCCUGACGAGUGUACCACUCCAAUGCUGCGCCACUCCGACUCUGGCUAAAGUACGCCAUCAACAGCUCAUCUUUCCCACCGGCUUCUCUCAUUUUACUAUAGAACCCCCUCAGGUGGGCCACUGGGUCUCCAUGCCCGUCAUACAGGUUAAAUUUAGGCAUCUUAAAUCCCACAGGCAACUGAACAUCGGGAAAUAGACACAAAUCUUUGUAGGCUACACUCACCUGGCCUCCCAAUCCCUACAUGUUUCUGAAUGAUUAUUCCAGGCUUCUUACCUUCCUGAACAUCUCCUCCUACUCUGGGUUUUUAGGUGGUUUCUCAGUCUCAUCUGGGAUAUGUGCGAAAAAAAACAUUUUUGGGGUUUUUAAAUUUUCAUAAAAUAAAACAUCUUGAUUACGACAAUUUCCUCUACAAAGUUAAACAUAAAGACUGAUAGACUCGAUGAUUGGACCAACAACUUCAAAAGAAAACUGAAAAUAAAGACUCGAAAAUGAAAUAAUAAAUUGACAAUACAGACUCGAACAAACAAAGUCAAGAAUACAUAAGUGCCUCAACUGCUGCUCUAGUUGGCCUUGCUGCGGGCCUUUGCGCCAUAUCUUAUUGGAGGCGAAAUAGGUCAUCCAUAAUCUGUAGGACAAAAAUCAUAACUGAAGCGAAGAACAUGUACCUGGUCAUGUCUUCACACUCGUUGCACUUAAUCACAAUGUAGUCCGCAACUCUCCUAACCCUUUCCCUGAUAAUACCCUUCUCCUAUAGCAACCGUCCGAUCUGCUGAGAUCUGGCAUCCAAAACUUGUUCAAUUGUAUGAUUUUUCUCUUGAAUCUGCUAUAGGUCUUUUUCUAGCAGCGACAUCAGUGCAUAACAAUGUUCUCUUUCUGCUUUGAAAUCUCUUACCUGCUUGGUCAUUUCGUUCUCAAGGACGGUGAUCUUUUUCUUCAACCCCAUGAUUCCAUUGUCAUAUUUUCCUUUUAACUAUUGACAAAGCACGCUCGUUCCUCCGCAUUCUUAGCCAAUUUUUUUCGAGCCAUUGCCAGUUCGUCCUCGGCCUUUUUCAGAUUAAAACCAUAUUCACCCACUUUCUGCCUAAGGUUACCUAUAAGAUUUUCAUCUUUUGCACUUCUGGCAGGGUUUUCGGCUGCUAUUUUCAUUUCCUGAAUCUGGGCUCGGAGGGCAUCAUUUUCUUUGGCUAGCUUUUUCUUUUCACCCUCAUCCGCAGCGGCUUGCAAACCAAUCUCAAAUUGAAGAUAUCUAACUUGCUUUUCCAGUUUGCUUAUGGUGGCCCUAUACUAUUUUCUUUAGCCAACCACUCCCAUUGUUCCUAUGACGGUUCGACAAAUUCUUGAAGAUGGGGUCUUUUGGCUGGUCUUCCAAAAUCAACACUUUUUUUGUACCAAGCGAUCUAACCGGACGAGACUUCACCCUUGGAUAGAUCACGUACUCGGGUGUUUGCUGUCAAGUACUUUCAUUCACUCCAGAUCUGGCGAACCGCCGCCUCAUGAAAUUGGCCAUCAGAAUGGAUCUUGACUGCAUGGGUGCUAAGGUCUUCAUCCUUUGGAACUAUUUGGCAUCUCUCCAACUAUCUCAAAACCCGGUACGUGGCAUAAGGCUAUAUACUUCUGAGACCCAUCAAGAGGAAGUGAGGACCGGUGGCAGGCAUGUAUAUGAUUUCAUCAACAGGAAGCCAACCCAACUUCCAUUCUAUUUGAUUUGCAGUGAUGGAACGGAGGCAAGAUAUCCAUUCUGCGACCCCUUCUAGCAUGUUGAACCCGUUGACCCUUGUAUAAAACUCUACUAUGCAGCUUUCCCCUAUUGACCCAUAGUUCAUGUACUGAGGACGAUGACAUAGAUGCUCAAUCAUCCACAUUUGUAGCAACAAGUUACACCCCUUGAAAAAGUCUACUCCGGCUUUGCAGGCUGUGAGAGCUUGGUAUAUUUCGGACACUAUCAUGGGUGCGAGGGUGUUUUUAGCCUGGGUAAGCAAAGUGUUGACGACCCCGGCCACCCAUACAUCGAUAUUCUCAUCCUUCCUGGGAAACACUAAAAGACCCAAAAAUACCACCAUGAAGGCGAAGCAUCUAUGCUUUUCCCAUUUUAGUCGAUUCUCUUUGCUGCAAAUUUUGCUCUCUGGGUUUUCGAAUCCCCCUAUGUGUCCGUACUGCUGUUAUAUGAACUAUGGAGUAGAAAUCCCAACCGCCAAAUCUGCAUAUUAGCCCCCUGCUUAUUUUUAGCAAAUCAAGAAACUUGUGAGGGGUGACGGCUCUCAGGGCAACUAGAUCUUUAUGUCUCAAAGCUUUGGUACUCCCAACAUAACCGGCUAUCUCUUCUAAAGUGGGUGUGAGUUCAAAGUCCGAGAAAUGAAACACGUUGUGGGCUGGAUCCCAAAAUGUAACCAAUGCUUUUAUUAUGUCUCCUCUAGGCCUGAUCUUCAAUAACCCGGUGAAGACCCCCCAAGUACUGGUUGACCACAUCUCGUCCUGAUUUUCCCAGAUCUUCCCACCACAUGUACAAUUCCAAAGAAAUCUUGGUCGUGACCUUCAUUAGCAAGUUUUGACUCAUGCCCAUUCUGCACAUUUAGAUUAGGGUGAUUUGUUUACACAUAAAGUGAAUCUCAUUUGAAAAACUGACAAAAGGGGUUAUUUUUGCAAAAAUCAAGACAUUAGGGCUACUUUUGCGAAUACAGCCCUUCAGCACUUUGAAAUGGAAGUUUUAGGGUUGUGUUCGCUAGGUGACCAAAAUUUUGAUAAAACACAGUCAGCGGCUAUUCUUGCAAAAAUAGCCCUCCGACGUCCUGUCGGGACAUUCAGCUAUUUAGACAAGAACGGCAUCACCCACUUUAUUUAUGACAAAAUGACGAUGCUUCAUAUAUUUUUUCAAAUUUUUUCAAAAAGCAUGGAUGGACCCGAUGAGGGUUACCUACGUAUCCUACAUCCGGUGAGAAUCAAACCCGCAUAGUUCGGCUUGUUUUGACACAACUGAAAAAUAUAAACACUUUUAAAUAAUUUUUCUACUCGUUUUCCCUCUUUUUUUCAAAACUUUCGGUAGAGUUUCGGGAUGUUUUGGGUGCCGAAUUUUGGGCAACGGAUGAAAUUCUCUCUCAUACUCCGCACUUGGUCUCUCCUUUUUUUCAAUAUAUUUUUUGGUUUUCUUCACUUAAUCUAGAAGCCGGUCAACAUGCAAUCCGAAACAAAUUAAAUGCACAGGUAGCACAUAAAAAUGCAUCAGGUUGGUCUUUUAUUUUCAGGUACGCCUGUCCUAGACGGACCCAACCCCUGUGUUGAGUCCCCAAAGUCAAAUGCAUAUGAUGCAAACAAGUGUUCCUACUAGGGAUUCGGCAUGAGACUGAGUUAUUCUAAGUUCAAAACCUAGGUAUGUUGUUCUAGACUUGUGUACCCGAGCGGACAACUCGAGCCAAUGGGGGCUACAUACCGGAAACCAAAAGGCCAUCUGGCAAUGUAACUUGUCCGAGCCUCUUCCUAGUUUAAGGUAUGACACUAACAGAAGAGGAGUCACACCAGCAUGCACAUCCCCGAAGAUGUGAAGAAAAGGGUUUCGUGGCAAUUUAUAUACAGUUCAGAUAAUAUCAAAGCGGUAAAAUGCAACAUUUAGCACAUUAGGCCCAAACAUGUAAAUAAAAUCAAACAAUAAAUAAAGCCAAAUAUAACAAUUAUUCUAAGCUCGAAUUCUUGAACACUGAACCAGAGAUUCUGGGUUCGAUCCCCAGCAGAGUUGCCAAAGCUGUCACACCUCCUUUUUCUACCCCGAGAGGGUAUAAGGGAGUUUUUCCAAUUUAAGUGACAAUUGAAACGGGAUUAUUUUAUUUAAAAUUCAGAGUCGCCACUUGGGAUAGUUUAUGGUGUCCCAGGUCAACGAUUUUAAAUCCCGAAUCGAGGAAAGAUUGACUCUGUUUACAAUCCGCGAACACAAAAAUCCCUGUAUGGAAAUCUGUUAACCCAGGAGAAGGUGUUAGGCAUUCCCGGAUUCCGUGGUUCUAGCACGGUCGCUCAACUAUUAUUAUUGGCCUAUUUAUCUGAUUUUAAAAUAUUUUUAAACCUAUAUGCAUUUAUUCCUUUAAAACCGCUUUUAAUAAUCCAAUUAUUAUACAACUAAUUAUUUGAUUACACGUUGCAAAUCAUGUCACAGGAACCGUACCCACGAUCUAGAACAUGUUUAUUUUAUCAACAAGAUUAAAUUGUGGUUGGGUCACAUAAAUAUACCCCCGGAUUUUCAGAAAUUAGGUGUCACGACCACGUUAUGGAAACCUUACCUGUAGCUAUGACAAUCAAUUAAUUAAAGCGCCUAAAGUAAACUACGAAAGUUCAAGGCAUUAUUUAAACUAGUUAAGAUAAUUAAUAUGAGGGCCAUAGAUUACGGAUUUUGUUUGUGUAUGGCGCACCUCAAAUUAUUUUAAAAGAAAUGAUUUGUAUAUAUUUCUGAAAGCCAACUAAAGAUGUUCCUACUUUAAUCUAAUUUAAAUUUAGAUAUCACAACCAUGUCACGGGAACCGUACCCGUAGUUGUAACAAUUUAUUGUUUGCCUAAAGCAAACUACGAGAUUCAUUCUUAGUAACUAAGUUAUAAAAUAUGAGGUACAUAGGUUAUAGGAGUCAAAUGUAUUGAUGGCACGCCCCAAAACUAUUCAACUAAAUGAACUAGGAUAUUCAUAUUUAGAACUAAUUCGAAGUUAGCUAUCGUAACUACGUCACGGAAACCGUACCCGUAGUCGUGAUGUUUUAAUUAUAUGCCUAUAGGUCCACCUAACCAUGGAAUGCCAACAAUUAGACUAAGCUUGUGCAACCAAUACCAUUGUUCAAAGCUUCUUGUAAAAUAAUAGGGGAAGAGUAGCAGGAAAAGCAUUUUAAUAUCGAGGACGAUUGUCUUCAACUUAUGUCUCAAACAAAAUAAUUACAGUACAUCACUGUAGAAGACUACAUUUUUGCCAUAUCAUCCACACCUCAUAUGAUUAAGUUACUGCAAUCCCUUAAAAAAACUUGGUCACCAAAUGUAAAGCAAUUGAUGUGGACUUGACACAUUGUACGGUUGACAUGUAUUCCAUCUAUACACAUUAAAAUAGAAAGCAUGUAUUCAUGAUAAAAGGAAACAACCAAUAUCACCAACACAAGUAGUAAGUAGAAAACUCGCGAAUGCACAGAAGUUAGGACUUUAACAUUGCUGGAUUCCUAACAAUCCAGGCAAAUGCACUCAAACUGCUAAUAAUCAACCCAAAAUGUAUUCCAACUUCCUAACAAAAUGAUUGUAAAAUGAGCAAAAACCCACCACUGACUUAGCAAAUCCAAACACUGAACUUAGUAAGUCCCUUUGCAAACCAGUCCUCAGCUUGUUGGUUAGACCUAUUAAGUUCAAGCUUUCUACAUGGGACUAACUGACUAAUGCAUCACAACUUACAUGGAAUCCUCAUUAGUCUAUCACAUUACUUAUUAUUACGCUACAAUCAUAUUUUAUGCCUGAAAUCAGCCAAACAAAACAGGGACUUGCUAGGAAAAUAAGACACAAAGUCACAUGAGCUCAACUCGCAAAAAUACAAAUUGAUUUCAAAGAAAACAAAACCAUACUACUACACAAUUUUUAUGUUGAAUCCUAUUCAACAGGUUCACUGACAGAAUUGGCAUGCUGGGAAAACACGAACACUCCCUGAUCCUCUCAACCAUGGUAAGCCAUAAAGAACAAAUGUUGUCAAGAAUAACUUCAGCAACUUCAAACCAUCAGAACAUGCGAAAAUGGUCAUGGAAUCAGGGAAAAAGGAAACUAUUCAGUGAUUCAUGUCGAACAUGUCGAGACCAAACAGUAGGUACGAGCAAACUAUCCUGAAUACCAAAAUAUGUCAUAUACAGCAGAAGAAACACAUGUGGUUCUAGUAAAAAAACUUCUAAUAGAUGAGGAAGAUUUCACAAGAACAAGUCAUUUAAAGUCCAAAAAACAAACUUCAUGAGAAUAAACGUCAUAGUUUCAUGCUCGCUUAACAAUCACAAAAGCUGAACACAUCCUUCAUUUGAAAGCGACAAAAUCUUGACCCAAAAUGUACUUCGACCCCAUAAUAACAGUUAAAGCGUACAGAGGAUAGAAAACAAUCACUUGAUUUAGCUCUUAUUGACUGACCAUACUCAGCGUACCAAAACAGUGAGAAAGGACUUAUUAGCAAGAUAACAUAUCAAAUAUCGUUCUCGAAUAUGAAUCCAGACUAAAUGUUAAACCCAUGCUCGACUUCUUCAUGAAAUUUGAUCAAGGAAGAGAAAAAACCAUUUUGGAAAACAAAUUCCCAUAGCUUAAAAACACCUUAAAACAAAGGUACAUAGGAGAAGAAAUCAAACCUGAAAUUGCAAACUUCCUUUAUAAUAAUUACAGAAUCAGCAAAUACACCUUUUUAUUCCAAAAUCCUAGCGAGGUUCAGCAGUAAAUCAGUAGGACAAGAGUAGAAACAAAAUCGACGAACUUGAACCUUAUGAAUAUUCAAUAGACCUCAGUUGAUUUCCAUGUUUUGGAACCAAAGUCAGAUUAAACACUCUAAAUAUUUAUGUAUUUUUUUGAAUUUUAAAAGAAGCUUUCAGAGAAGAAAAAUGAGAAGCCAAAAAAAAUCCUUCAACCUUUCCUCUCUGAUUUUUUACCACAAAAUUCUCUAUCAUUUUCCAAAUCGGAUCAGGUCCUUUUAAAAACGAACACCUGAUGAAUGUGAGGCUUGGCUUGAGUGAAAUCGAUCCAACGCCUCUCACCCAUCCAACACUUGUCCUCCAGAACCUUCCAUCGCGUGAUAUAGCUCGAAAUCGGGCGAAUGAGGGGGGGGGGGGAAUCUUUUAGUGUCAGAAACCGUUACAAUAUGGUAGGAUGAGAGAAAGGGGAAACGCUUGGUGCGAGUUUGGGUUCACUCGCCAUGAAUUUUUGGGCGAGUUUGGGAACGAGUUUGGGCGAAGAUGAUGGUGAAUAGUGUAUAUGUCGUUUGGGUUCUUGGGAAUUUUGGGUUCUUGUAUUGUCUGUGUAUAUUUGGGUUAGUGGGGCAGCUCAAGGAAAUGGGUCACAGGUUAGGGUCACAAGUCUUG